AGUGAACGCUGGCGGUAGGCCUAACACAUGCAAGUCGAACGGCAGCACAGUAAGAGCUUGCUCUUACGGGUGGCGAGUGGCGGACGGGUGAGGAAUACAUCGGAAUCUACUUUUUCGUGGGGGAUAACGUAGGGAAACUUACGCUAUUACCGCAUACGACCUACGGGUGAAAGCAGGGGAUCUUCGGACCUUGCGCGAUUGAAUGAGCCGAUGUCGGAUUAGCUAGUUGGCGGGGUAAAGGCCCACCAAGGCGACGAUCCGUAGCUGGUCUGAGAGGAUGAUCAGCCACACUGGAACUGAGACACGGUCCAGACUCCGACGGGAGGCAGCAGUGGGGAAUAUUGGACAAUGGGCGCAAGCCUGAUCCAGCCAUACCGCGUGGGUGAAGAAGGCCUUCGGGUUGUAAAGCCCUUUUGUUGGGAAAGAAAAGCAGCAGGUUAAGACCCCGCUGUUCUGACGGUACCCAAAGAAUAAGCACCGGCUAACUUCGUG
rnacentral:rRNA from 1 species